GAUACUGUGCGUCUCUAUGGGUCCCUAUGGGUCCCUAUGGGGCGCUGUGGGUCCCUAUGGGUCCCUAUGGGUCCCUGUGGGAUCCCUAUGGGUCCCUAUGGGUCUCUAUGGGUCCCUAUGGGUCUCUAUGGUUCUCUAUGGGGUUAUGGCUCACUGUGGGAUACUGUGGGUCCCUAUGGGGUGCUGUGGGUUCCUAUGGGUCUCUAUGGGUCCCUAUGGGGUGCUGUGGGUCCCUAUGGGCCCCUAUGGGUCCCUAUGGGGUGCUGUGGGUCCCUAUAGGGCCCUAUGGGUCCCUAUGGGUCCCUGUGGGAUCCCUAUGGGCCCCUAUGGGUCCCUAUGGGGUGCUGUGGGUCCCUAUAGGGCCCUAUGGGUCCCUAUGGGUCCCUGUGGGAUCCCUAUGGGUCCCUAUGGGUCUCUAUGGGUCUCUA